AAUCGCGAAUAGCUCAUUACAACAGCCAUUGUUUCUUGGAUCUUACUUUCUACUUGGAUAACUGUGGUAAUUCUAGAGCUAAUACAUGCUACAAAGUCCUGACGUAAGAAGGGACGCAUUUAUUAGAACUAAACUGACCAGGCUUUGCCUGUUGUUUGGUGAAUCUGAAUAACUCCGCAGAUCGCAUGGUCUAGCACCGGCGACAUAUCUUUCAAGUGUCUGCCCUAUCAACUUUCGAUGGUAGUUUAUGCGACUACCAUGGUUGUAA
rnacentral:rRNA from 1 species